ensembl:miRNA
UGAGGUAGUAGUUUGUAUAGUUUUAGGAUCACACCAGAUCUGGGAGAUAACUAUACAGCCUACUGUCUUUCU